rfam:Pantoea ananatis LMG 20103, complete genome.
UGCAUUACAGGUGGUUGAGCCGAUAAUACUGACGACAGAUCGCAAGCGGGAAGCGGUUGCAGUGAGGUGUGAAGUGAUGAGUCUGUCACGACCUCGUGCGUGCACGUAUGCUGAUU